rnacentral:tRNA from 1 species
UCCUUGGUGGUCCAGUGGUUAAGACUUUGCAUUUGCAAUGCCGGAGGCACAGGUUCAAUCCCUGGUCAGGGAA